rnacentral:misc_RNA from 1 species
CCAAUGGACAUCCUUCUCUGUUUAACACAGCCCACUUUGGUGGCCUUAAUUUAUUACUUGAAACUUUAUUUGGAGACAACUUCAAUACUGGUUGACGCCUCCACUUUCCCUUGUCGCACUUGCUGGUUUAUUGUCCUUAUAUAUGCCCAAAAAACCUUCCUUUCUGUUCCUUCUAUACCCAAAAACAACCACCACUGCUCUCUCCUCUUCAAUCCUCAUCACCUUCUGCAACAAUGGAAGUAAAAGAACAUGACCCUUUUCUCUCUUCUUCUGUCUCCUCCACCAGAUGGUGGACGAAGGACACUGUUGCGAUUGUCACCGGAGCGAACAAAGGAAUUGGGUUCUCGCUAGUGAAACAACUAGCAGAGUCGGGACUCACCGUGAUAUUAACAGCUAGAGAUGUAGAGAGGGGAUGCAAGGCUAUUGAGCAGCUAAGAAAUGGCCAUGGUGAUCUCUCCGUACACUUCUAUCGCCUUGAUGUUUCGGAUCCUGCUUCCAUUAAGACCUUCGUUUCCCAGUUUGAAAAGGAUUUUGGAGCCUUGGAUAUUCUUGUGAACAAUGCUGCGGUAUCAUUCAAUGACAUCCAUGAAAACUCAGUGGAGCAUGCAGAGACUGUCAUCAAAACCAAUUUCUAUGGUCCCAAAUUGCUGAUUGAGGCACUCUUGCCAAUGUUUCGUCGAUCAAAUUCUUCCAGCCGCAUCCUUAACAUUAGCUCAAGACUUGGCUCUAUUAAUAAGAUGAAAAACCCUACUAUGAAAGAGAUGUUGCUAAGCGAAAACUUAUCAGAAGAGCAGAUUGAAGGGAUGGUAAAUACGUUUCUAGAAAAUGUGAAGAAAGGGACGUGGAAGAGCCAAGGCUGGCCUGAGAUAUGGACAGAUUACGCAGUAUCAAAGCUAGCAAUAAAUGCAUACUCUAGGGUUUUAGCAAGACGAUAUAAAGAUUGUGGAAUAUGCGUAAAUUGUUUCUGCCCUGGCUUUACUCAGACGUCUAUGACCCGUGGUAAAGGCACUCACACCGCCGCUGAUGCCGCUGAAGUUGGUGCUAGGCUGGCCUUGCUUCCGCCGCACCAGCUACCCACUGGCAAGUUUUAUAUAGGGUUUAGCCCUGGCAUUGUUUCUAAAUUAUAAGAAUAUGAAUGAUCAUUCAUUAAUUCUAGUCAGAUAAUGGGAAUAUAAUAUAAUAUAUUAUUGCCAUGAUUAUAUAAAAUGGCAAUUAAUUAUAAUCACAGCGAAUCAUGGGUUAAUUUAAUUGGUUUUUCUCUACUUUAUGACAUUCAGUCUCCUUAUUUACCUAUUAUGAUAUUUUUUUUUCUUAACGUGC